AGUUCAAUUUUGAUACAAAGUGUGUUGGUUGCAUAUUAUCUUUCAUUUAGCAAUAAAGAACAUUCUUGUGAAAUAUUUGAAUAUUUUGCUGAAAUUCAUAGCUGAUACUUCUGGUAGUAGACAACACAACAGCAAACGUGUAAUUGCAAUUAUAGCUUGUUUGUUUAGUAAAUCUAUCACAUUCUUCCACCAUCUUCAUUUGAGGAUUUAUUAUUGCUGACAUUGUUCCAUUCACAAAUAUCUUGGUUCAACAAUAAAUAUUCCAUUCAACAUCUUAUCUUUCUUUUGAAUCCCAAUAUCAUGCUUUAUUUUAAACUCUAGCUGUAAUAACUAAAUGAAUAAAAAAAUUGAUAACUUUAUAUAAUUCAGUAUUUUCAUUUAUUUGGGUGCUCUCUAGAUUGUUUAAUACCCUAUAAAUUUCCAUGCUUUACUUGCUUUUAUAUUCAUCCUUGAUUUAGGUACCUAAGACUCAGCUUUACUAUUCAUUAGCAUCUAUUGAU
rnacentral:lncRNA from 1 species